GUUGGUUUCUAGGAUCACCGUAAUGAUUAAUAGGGAUAGUUGGGGGCAUUAGUAUUCAAUUGUCAGAGGUGAAAUUCUUGGAUUUAUUGAAGACUAACUUCUGCGAAAGCAUUUGCCAAGGAUGUUUUCAUUAAUCAAGAACGAAAGUUAGGGGAUCGAAGACGAUCAGAUACCGUCGUAGUCUUAACCAUAAACUAUGCCGACUAGGGAUCGGACGAUGUAAUUUUUAAUGACUCG
rnacentral:rRNA from 1 species